CACCAAGUCCGGUAUAUUAUCACCACCCAUCACCACCACCUCCACAACCAGUAUAUUACGCGCCACCAACAUAUAAACCUCAAUCACCACCACCACCUCCACCACCAGUACAUUACGAGCCACCAACGUACACACCUCAAUCACCACCACCACCUCCACCAGUACAUUACGAGCCACCACCAUACACACCUCAAUCACCACCACCUCCACCAGUACAUUACGAACCACCAACGUACACACCUCAAUCGCCACCACCACCAGUAUAUGUGACACCGUCUUCACCACCACCACCAGUAUAUGAGCAUCCAAAACCUCCAACUCCAACUCCAUCACCACCAGCUGGGUACACACCUCCCCAGGAGCCAUCACAUCC
rnacentral:lncRNA from 1 species